AAGUGUUAAUGAGAUAAUCUAUGUCUAAAAUUAAUAAUCGAUCUAUCUUCAAUAUGUCGAUAAGUUACAUAGCAACGU